GACGAACGCUGGCGGCGUGCUUAACACAUGCAAGUCGAACGGAAAGGACCUGCUUUUGUGGGGUGCUCGAGUGGCGAACGGGUGAGUAACACGUGAGUAACCUGCCCUUGACUUUGGGAUAACUUCAGGAAACUGGGGCUAAUACCGGAUAGGAGCUCCUGCUGCAUGGUGGGGGUUGGAAAGUUUCGGCGGUUGGGGAUGGACUCGCGGCUUAUCAGCUUGUUGGUGGGGUAGUGGCUUACCAAGGCUUUGACGGGUAGCCGGCCUGAGAGGGUGACCGGCCACACUGGGACUGAGAUACGGCCCAGACUCCUACGGGAGGCAGCAGUGGGGAAUAUUGCACAAUGGGCGGAAGCCUGAUGCAGCAACGCCGCGUGCGGGAUGACGGCCUUCGGGUUGUAAACCUCUUUCGCCUGUGACGAAGCGUGAGUGACGGUAAUUGGUAAAGAAGCACCGGCUAACUACGUG
rnacentral:rRNA from 1 species